UCAGUGGCGAACGGGUGAGUAACACGUGGGCAACCUGCCCUCAGCUCUGGGAUAACUCCAAGAAAUUGGGGCUAAUACUGGAUAUGACUGCUGACCGCAUGGUCUGGUGGUGGAAAGAUUUAUCGGCUGGGGAUGGGCCCGCGGCCUAUCAGCUUGUUGGUGGGGUAGUGGCCUACCAAGGCGACGACGGGUAGCCGGCCUGAGAGGGUGACCGGCCACACUGGGACUGAGACACGGCCCAGACUCCUACGGGAGGCAGCAGUGGGGAAUAUUGCGCAAUGGGCGAAAGCCUGACGCAGCGACGCCGCGUGGGGGAUGACGGCCUUCGGGUUGUAAACCUCUUUCAGCAGGGACGAAGCGAAAGUGACGGUACCUGCAGAAGAAGCACCGGCCAACUACGUGCCAGCAGCCGCGGUAAUACGUAGGGUGCAAGCGUUGUCCGGAAUUAUUGGGCGUAAAGAGCUCGUAGGCGGUUUGUUGCGUCGGCUGUGAAAACCUGAGGCUCAACCUCAGGCCUGCAGUCGAUACGAGCAGACUAGAGUGUUGCAGGGGAGACUGGAAUUCCUGGUGUAGCGGUGAAAUGCGCAGAUAUCAGGAGGAACACCGGUGGCGAAGGCGGGUCUCUGGGCAACAACUGACGCUGAGGAGCGAAAGCGUGGGGAGCGAACAGGAUUAGAUACCCUGGUAGUCCACGCCGUAAACGUUGGGCGCUAGGUGUGG
rnacentral:rRNA from 1 species